AUGUGUCUCAGAGAUAGGAAGCUAAAUCAGAACGCAGCAAGAAGACAGCACACAUUCGAGAGAGGAAAAAAUGUGAAAUCUGCUUCUGGCCAUCAGAGGAGCUGAUGCAAUCCCGGCUGACUCGGGGGACAGCCACGGUGCCAGCUACAGAGGCCACAUGGCUUCUAAUGAGGCCAGGCCCAGUUGUAGCUCCGAAGAGUGGGUGAGCCAGCCAAAUUUCACCCAAGGACAGAAGCAGCCUUAACAGCUGUUGACAAGCACUGGCUACCAUCUAUGUGUCAACAAUUGUGUCAUGAGUUUGAGAUGGGCCGACAGCACGUGGAACUCAAAGGUGACUAAGGGAGAAAGGAAAGUAAAUCAAUGAUCAGAGUCCAGAGAGCUACAUGCAGUGCAACCCAUGGUUUUAUGGGAGAACCGACAGGGGCACCUCACUCUGGAAGGAACAACGCCAGGAGAGGCUUUGAGGUGCCGAUAAUGUCCAGGUGAUGUGCAAAUGUGUAGGAGCUAGCAAGACAGAAAAGCAGCUAUUAAUGGGGAAGUGGUGUGGGUGACAUUUCAAAUAGAGGGAAUAGGAGGCAAAAGAAGAUUAAAAAUAUAUGCUUAAGGAAAUGCUGGAACGACUAUUUCACAUGGCCAUGGUGCCAGAGAUAAGUUUAGAAGACAUGCACAGGAUCAGACCAGGGAGGGUGAGCCAGUGGCUCUGCAUUUCACCCUGGCAACUCUGAAGUCCUGCUGGAGAAUUUUAAGCAGGGGCGGAACAGCCACCUGACAGAUACAGAUAAACAUCCUGGAAAGAUCACUCCUGCUGCAGAGAGAAAGGAGCAAUGCUGGAGGCUGCGGCUGCCCAGGCCAAGGAGGCCUUCUGAAAAAGUCCAUCUGGAUGAAGGCGAAUUCAAGAGCAGCUUAGCUGGCAGAACUGAAGGACCGUGGUGCUCCUACAGAUCAUGUGGAUGAUGGGAAGGGUCUCCAGGAAAUGCACAGAGGGUGUGAAAAGUUCCAGGUUGAAAUCCUAGGUGCAGGGUAGGCAAUGGCCAUUUUAGCAUUUAUGAAUGGAAAAUCCAGGGUGCACAAUGCUUUGAGGAGAGAGUCACUUUGGAUUUGCCUCCGGAGUCUACAGGUGCGGUGUCCUUGGGCGCCCAGCCAUGCAAGUCUGGGGUCUGGGCUGGUAGCCGGAUCUCAGCCUCUUUCACCUCCCUUUUUCCUCUUUUUAUUUAUUUAUUUUUCAUUCUUUCCCCUCUCCACAUCUCAGUUCUAACCUCUUUGCCUCAAUAUGCUCUUUCUUGUCUGUUCUUUAAACAGGAACUUGUUUGGAAUUGAGCCUUGAUUCUGAAAAGAAAGUAUCAGAGGGCAGCAUUUGAACUGGCAUUUAAGGUGUCAACCAGGGGGAAUUUGGUGCCGACCAGUAAAAGGGGAGAAUCAAAAACAGAAGCUCCAUCACCAGGGACAGGGCCAGACUCCUGACUAGAAACUCAGUGGAUGUGCUGAAUCAUUCGGAUACUUUCCAGAAAAUUAUUUUACCUACUCAGAAGGCUGGGCAUCAGCCAAAACUGUCUGGAAAACCACAAGGAAAGACAUUUCCAUGAAGUAACUAGAGUUUUGGGCUUCUACUCUAGAGGAAUAUAAGAGGAACUUUCUUUAAAGAGUAUGCAGGUGGUUCCUUUUAAGCUCACCUGUCUGGUUUUUCAAACAGAUCAAGGGGUGAUGGCAGGGAAACGUCUCCCCUGGAAAUCUCACCCCUCCAUUUGCUAAAGAGAAGGAGCUUCAAUCCCUUGACAGGAUGAUGAAACAAUAAUAAACUGAUGUGACCAAGUCUCAUGCCAGCAGUCCUACCUGUGGCCCACCCUUCUCGUGGCCAACAAUGGCUUUUCUUAAAUAAAUAAAAAUCAAGAUUUGUACCACUCCUGCUGUAAGCUCUUCAGUGGCUCAUGGAUGAAUGAACAGGAUCACCAUUGGCACACAAGUCCCCCCACAGAUCACCUACUCAUCUUUCCACCCCAGCUUUUGCCAUUCUCUCCCCAUCCCACAAAUCCAUUGCCAUCCAAAGAUAAGAAAGAUACCAGAUAGGGCUUCCCAGUUGCAGCAGAGUGGACUGUCUUUACACUGGAGGGCUAUUCUUCCACAAAGAAGUCUUCUCCCCCGUGGGAAGGGAUUGGAGUACUUCUCCUAGGCACUAUGUGAGCAGAUGGUUGAGAAAUGAGCUAGCCCUUGAGCUUCUGCAGCAAGGGAGGGUCCCAUCAUGAGAGCAGAUGGUAUGGGAAAUGCACCAGUUUGGAAUUGGGAGGAACAAGUUUCAGGCCUGACUCAGAUACAGAUACUUGCCAUCAUCAGUAUGCCCUUGAAUGAACUAUAAAGUGUCUCUGAACCUCUGUUGUCUCCUUUGCAGUGUUGAGCCAAGGUUAUAUACCACACAGGGAUUGAGGAAGAGGAAUUAAGGCAGCGUACAUGGAAGUGGCUGGCUCAGUCAUCACUGGCUAAACGCUACUUGAAUUCCAUUCUAAAACUCCACAUAGAAAGGCAAUUUGACAAAAUUUGAUCAUCCCUUCACCCCAAUUAUCACCCCGUGAACUUUUCUUCCAUUUAUCACCCUUGGAUUUCGUAGCUCGGCACACACAGUCUUUCUCCCUCUCUCACUUCUUUCUUUCUCUCCUUUUUUCUUCUUCUGUUAAACCUAAGAAAUUCUAAUGCUGAAGAGGGUUUUCUUAAGGUGAUUCUCCUGGAAAAGAUGACUCUUUAAGCAAAAAUUCAGACUUUCUCUAGAGUGACCGAGACAUGUAGGUGGCGGUAGCAAUACAGGCUGACCUUCCAGCAUGGUCCUGGGAACCACAGGUCAGCUCUGCUGCAGAUGCCCAGACAGCGUGUCUCUUCCUGAAACAAAUCGACUUCCACAUGGCUCUUCUGAAGACUAAGAUGGCCACGUCUAUCUAAUGAACCCAUCCUGCCACCUCCAUUUGGGUCCUGGAAAUGGACCGAGCUCUUUUGUGGUUCCCUGUACAUUUCAGCGUGCAUCUUUAGCUAUGAGAGGUCAUUUGCUGCCAGUUCUGUUGGCUUUAAUGAGUCUCCUGCCUUGGACCUGGAGAGAGAAGUGGGAAAAUGUGAUUCUCAUGCCCAGGCCUGGCCUCCCUGAACUCACUUUUCCCAUUAAGCUUUGACACUGGACCAUGCCUUUGUUGGCAGAGGAGGUUUUUAUGGA
ensembl:lncRNA novel transcript